CUCUGUGACUCCUACGGGAGGCAGCAGUGGGAAUAUUGCACAAUGGGCGCAAGCCUGAUGCAGCAACGCCGUGUGAGUGAAGAAGGUUUUCGGAUCGUAAAACUCUGUCCUAAGGGAAGAAACAAAUGACGGUACCUUAGGAGGAAGCCCCGGCUAACUACGUGCCAGCAGCCGCGGUAAUACGUAGGGGGCAAGCGUUAUCCGGAAUCACUGGGCGUAAAGGGUGCGUAGGCGGCUUAGCAAGCCAGGGGUGAAAGGCAUUGGCUCAACCAAUGUAAGCCUUUGGAACUGUUAAGCUUGAGUGCAGGAGAGGUAAGUGGAAUUCCUAGUGUAGAGGUGAAAUUCGUAGAUAUUAGGAGGAACACCAGUGGCGAAGGCGACUUACUGGACUGUAACUGACGCUGAUGCACGAAAGCGUGUGUAGCGAACAGGAUUAGAUACCCUGGUAG
rnacentral:rRNA from 1 species